rnacentral:tRNA from 1 species
GGAGAGGUGGCUGAGAGGCUGAAAGCAACGGUUUGCUAAACCGUCGUACGGCAAACAAGCUGUACCGCGGGUUCGAAUCCCGCCCUCUCCG